UAAGCUUCAGAGCAAAAGAUUUAUUACAAGAACAACUUGACAGCAUUUUCAAAUUCAGAAAAAAAAAGUGAAACAUUGCAGUAUUGCUAUUUCAUACACAAAAAUUCCACAAUGUCAAGCAAUCUGUACAUUUAACCAAAGUUUUAGUGAAAAUGGCAUCUGAUCACAAACAUUCGGAUUUCGCUGAUUGGGGAUACGGAGGAAUGAGCGUUUCAUAAAAUCCCGUGUAGGCAGAAAGAGCGGAUUAGGACAAUCAAUCGUUUUAAGAUUGUAGAAGUCAUGGCUCAGUUAGCCUGUACAUUUAAAACACCAAAUACGUGUUCGAACAAGCCAAAACAAAUGUAAAAUGAAAAGAAUUAAGAGUACAUGUUAUAAUGUGUUUAUACACGCUAAACUGCCCACUGGCUACAUAUUGCAAUCAAUGUCGCUUUAACAAUACUGAUACAUCAUGAAUCAUUUGUAGCAGUGAGGAGUCAGCGCAUGAUAAAAUUACUGUAUCUUUAAGAGAUGGGACACAUAAAUAAGUUCACUUUGCCUUCAAAUCACUCUCAUUUUUUACUGACAACAUUUCCACUGAUUCUGUCUGUCGUCUCGAACUUGGGAAACAGAUGUCACUUGAGCCCAUGAAAGAUGAUUUCAUAAAUAAAUAAAUUAGACCAGCACUACUUCCCUCUUUACUUCAAAUCUGUACAUAUUCCCAUACAGUAUGUACACAAAGAUAUACACACUCUCCUUUCCCAGGCCAUGCUCUGUUGGUGUCCAGCAAAAACAAUUUUAUCAACAUUUUCUUUUCCUUGCCUCCACAUUGUGUGGGAAACAAUCAUCAAAUAUUAAUAUCAGUUUUUCCUUCGCUCAAAUCCAGAAGCUCUUGAGAUUCUAUGGUUUCUGCAGCCCACUAAACAGUAUACCGCUUUCCAACUUUACACCCUUCAACACAUGCUAAAUACCAAAAAGCUAGUAAUGUAGGCUCUGUAGCUGGAGUCUGGCUUGUCAUAUUGAUGACAAUUGUGUGAGAGCUUCACAAAGUAGGCUCAGUAUCCAGUUACAGCAUCCAUUAUUCAUGCACCCCUGCACACAUGCAGACACUCGAGUUAAAGCCAGUCAGUCUUCAUCUAUCAAACCUUACCAUGUCAUACCAGACCAUUAUUGGCUCUAAUCAGCACCAGGACAUUUCAGUAUCAUAUCAAAACAACAUUUUCUACCACUGAAUAAAACAUUUCUCUCUUUUUUUGCCACUAGAUGUCACCAUAAAUUGCGCCACAUUAUUGAAAUCCAUCUGUUAAAUAGGCGAUAAACAACCGAGGGAAUUCAGAGGAAAUACAUCAUAUAUAUGGUUUUCAUUAUUUGCACAUCCACCUCGGGUAUAACUUAUAAAUGAAACUGGCUGGUAAUGCUUUUUUUUUUCUCCUUCACAUUCACAUCCAAACUUUCUAAUUAUUAUAAACAGUUAAAGAUGGCAAUGUAGUGUUACCUAACAGAUUUUAGUGAUGUUUAGCUAAAAACAUUUAAAAAAAAAAAAAAGUAACCUGUGAAAAAUUGUUUAAGGCAAAAGGAAUUUUCAAGGCAUUUUCAACACCAGUAUUGCAUAGCUAAGAAC
ensembl:lncRNA